CCUACGGGAGGCAGCAGUGAGGAAUAUUGGUCAAUGGGCGCUAGCCUGAACCAGCCAAGUAGCGUGAAGGAUGACUGACCUAUGGGUUGUAAACUUCUUUUAUAUGGGAAUAAAGUGAAGUAUGUAUACAGCUUUGCAUGUACCUUAUGAAUAAGCAUCGGCUAACUCCGUGCCAGCAGCCGCGGUAAUACGGAGGAUCCGAGCGUUAUCCGGAUUUAUUGGGUUUAAAGGGCGCGUAGGCGGGUUGUUAAGUCAGUUGUGAAAGUUUGCGGCUCAACCGUAAAAUUGCAGUUGAUACUGGCAGCCUUGAGUACAGUAGAGGUAGGCGGAAGUCGUGGUGUAGCGGUGAAAUGCAUAGAUAUCACGAAGAACUCCGAUUGCGAAGGCAGCCUGCUAGACUGUAACUGACGCUGAUGCACGAAAGUGUGGGGAUCAAACAGGAUUAGAUACCCUAGUAGUC
rnacentral:rRNA from 1 species